rnacentral:lncRNA from 1 species
GCCCAACCUGGAAAUUGCCGGUGCAGGAGAAACCAACACCAGUGAGCAGCAUCUGUGCAGCGCAUCUCCUCUCUCUCGGUUUACAGUACGAAUUCAGAAUGUCAAAGCU